rnacentral:rRNA from 1 species
CCUACGUGGGGCAGCAGUAGGGAAUCUUCCACAAUGGACGAAAGUCUGAUGGAGCAACGCCGCGUGAGUGAAGAAGGGUUUCGGCUCGUAAAGCUCUGUUGGUAGUGAAGAAAGAUAGAGGUAGUAACUGGCCUUUAUUUGACGGUAAUGACGGAGAAAGUCACGGCUAACUACGUGCCAGCAGCCGCGGUAAUACGUAGGUGGCAAGCGUGGUCCGGAGUUAUUGGGCGUAACGCGAGUGCAGGCGGGUCCAUAAGUCUGAGGUGAAAGCCUUCGGCUCAACCGGAGAAUUGCCUCCGAACCUUUUGAACUUGAGUGCAUCAGAGGCGAGUGGCACUCCAUGUGUAGCGG